CAGACUGUUGAGGAGGAUCCG
rnacentral:piRNA from 1 species